rnacentral:misc_RNA from 1 species
GUAGGUGAACCUGCGGAAGGAUCAUUAAAAAGUUUGGCUUCGGCCGACUGCGAAAGCGCGAGCCGCCAGGAACUCCCGUCGCGCUCUUCCGGCCCACCCGGCGAAUCGCGGGUGUGAUCUGUAAACCGGAGCCAGCGUACAACCCCCGUACAAUUGCAUCCGAGACAAUUGAAGAGACGGGAGGGAAUGGCCGGCCGGGCCCACGCGUCAACCCUCCGUGAAACGUCCCCUUAGCUUGGGCAGCGCACCAGCGGUUCGCCGCUGGCCGGUCAGUCUGCCCGAAGCCCCAACCGAACCCCUUGUUUGAACUUACGUCUGAACCAGUCUAAUGACUUUAAAACUUUCAACAACGGAUCUCUUGGUUCUC